UUUCCGUAGUUGAACCUGCGGAAGGAUCAUUACAGAGUUCAUGCCCUCACGGGUAGAUCUCCCACCCUUGAAUAUUUAUACCUUAGUUGCUUUGGCAGGCCGUGGAAACACCAUGGGCUCCGGCUUAUGCGUGCCUGCCAGAGGAAACAAACUCUGUUUUUAGUGAUGUAUGAGUACUAUAUGAUAGUUAAAACUUUCAACAACGGAUCUCUUGGUUCUG
rnacentral:misc_RNA from 1 species